CGAACGCUGGCGGCAGGCUUAACACAUGCAAGUCGAGCCGAGGCUUCGGCCUAGCGGCGGACGGGUGAGUAAAGCAUGCGGAUGUACCCUUUGGUGCGGGAUAACGUUGGGAAACGAGCGCUAAUACCGCAUAAGCACUAAGGUGGAAAGAUUUAUCGCCGAAGGAUCAUUCCAUGUCGGAUUAGCUAGUUGUAGGGGUAAAGGCUCUACAAGGCGAUGAUCCGUAGCCGGCCUGAGAGGGUGGACGGCCACACCGGGACUGAGACACGGCCCGGACUCCUACGGGAGGCAGCAGUGGGGAAUAUUGGACAAUGGGCGCAAGCCUGAUCCAGCCAUGCCGCGUGCGUGAAGAAGGCCUUAGGGUUGUAAAGCGCUUUUGUCAGGGAUGAUAAUGACCGUACCUGAAGAAUAAGCCCCGGCUAACUCCGUGCCAGCAGCCGCGGUAAG
rnacentral:rRNA from 1 species